rnacentral:rRNA from 1 species
CGUAGGCUGUNAUAUAAGUCNGUGGUGAAAUNUUCGGGCUCAACCGGGAUACUGCCAUUGAUACUGUAUAGCUGGAAUAUGGUUGCUGUGGGUGGAAUGUGUGGUGUAGCGGUGAAAUGCAUAGAUAUCACACAGAAUAUCGAUUGCGAAGGCAGCUCACAAAGCCAUUAUUGACGCUGAGGCACGAAAGUGUGGGGAUCAAACAGGAUUAGAUACCCUGGUAGUCCACACUGUAAACGAUGAUAACUCGCUGUCGGCGAUAGACAGUCGGUGGCCAAGCGAAAGCGAUAAGUUAUCCACCUGGGGAGUACGACCGCAAGGUUGAAACUCAAAGGAAUUGACGGGGGCCCGCACAAGCGGAGGAACAUGUGGUUUAAUUCGAUGAUACGCGAGGAACCUUACCCGGGCUCGAACGGUGCAUGAAUAUACAAGAGAUUGUGUAGCCAGCAAUGGCAUGUAUCGAGGUGCUGCAUGGUUGUCGUCAGCUCGUGCCGUGAGGUGUCGACUUAAGUGCCAUAACGAGCGCAACCCUUGUCGUUAGUUACCAUCAGGUUAUGCUGGGGACUCUAGCGAGACUGCCACCGUAAGGUGAGAGGAAGGGGGGGAUGACGUCAAAUCAGCACGGCCCUUACGUCCGGGGUGACACACGUGUUACAAUGGUAGGUACAGAGGGUAGCUACCCAGCAAUGGGGUGCCAAUCUCAAAAGCCUAUCUCAGUUCGGAUUGGAGUCUGCAACUCGACUCCAUGAAGUUGGAUUCGCUUGUAAUCGCGCAUCAGCCAUGGCGCGGUGAAUACGUUCCCGGGCCUUGUACACACCGCCCGUCAAGCCAUGGAAGCCGGGGGUGCCUGAAGUUCGUGACCGCAAGGAGCGACCUAGGGCAAAACUGGUAACUGGGGCU